rnacentral:rRNA from 1 species
UACGUAGGGGGCAAGCGUUGUCCGGAUUUAUUGGGCGUAAAGAGCUCGUAGGCGGUUCGGUAAGUCGGAUGUGAAAUCUCCAGGCUCAACCUGGAGGGGUCAUUCGAUACUGCCGUGACUAGAGUUCGGUAGGGGAGUGUGGAAUUCCUGGUGGAGCGGUGAAAUGCGCAGAUAUCAGGAGGAACACCCGUAGCGAAGGCGGCACUCUGGGCCGAUACUGACACUGAGGAGCGAAAGCGUGGGGAGCGAGCAGG